UACGUAGGAGACGAGCGUUGUCCGGAGUUACUGGGCGUAAAGGGUGCGCAGGUGGCGCGGCGCGUGGGGGGGUGAAAGACCGGGGCUUAACCCCGGUUCUGCUUCCGGUACGGGCAUGCUGGAGUGUGGCAGGGGAGACUGGAAGUUCCCGGUGUAGCGGUGAAAUGCGCAGAUAUCGGGAGGAACACCGGUGGCGAAGGCAGGUCUCUGGGCCACUACUGACGCUGAGAAGCGAAAGCAUGGGGAGCGAACAGG
rnacentral:rRNA from 1 species